rnacentral:rRNA from 1 species
GAUGAACGCUAGCGAUAGGCUUAACACAUGCAAGUCGAGGGGUAACGUGUUGGAAGCUUGCUUCCGAUGACGACGACCGGCGGAUGGGUGCGUAACGCGUAUGCAACUUGCCUCACAGUGGAGAAUAACCCGGAGAAAUCCGGACUAAUGUUCCAUACACUCUUAAGUACUCCUGUACAUGAGAGGAAAGAUUUAUCGCUGUGAGAUAGGCAUGCGUCCUAUUAGGUAGUUGGUGAGGUAACGGCUCACCAAGCCGACGAUAGGUAGGGGUGCUGAGAGGCAGAUCCCCCACAUUGGGACUGAGACACGGCCCAAACUCCUACGGGAGGCAGCAGUGAGGAAUAUUGGUCAAUGGAGGAAACUCUGAACCAGCCAAGUCGCGUGAAGGAAGAAUGUCCUAAGGAUUGUAAACUUCUUUAGCGAGCGAGUAAGGACUUCCACGUGAUGGGAGUUUGAAAGUAGCUCGAGAAUAAGUAGCGGCUAACUCCGUG